GCCGGGCUGGGGCCGGGCGGGAGGCGCUCUGGACAAGCCAGGUGCUGCAGGGGCGCUGCCGCCCGGGAACGCGGGGAGUGACGUGAUCAGACAUUGGGGUAAAUGGUGUGUGUUUAAGAGGUCCGACCACGUAGACACGUGUGAAAGAAAAUCAGAGUCUGUUCACACCAUAGUCCUGGCCUCCAAGAUAAACACUGUGACCACUUUGACUCGAGCUCCACGGGAAAAGAACUUGGUUUCUUGAAAACACUGCAGCAGGGGUUAAACACGUGGUUUCAUUUGCCCUCUCGCGCUGUCACUGGGGCAAACGAAUGAUUAGGGGCCGGCUAGACAGGAAUUAAAGAAAAUGCCUCUCUGUUCGUCCCCUCUAACAGUAAGAUCGUCCUGGCACCAGAAACCCCGGGCUGGGUCCUGGGGGCAAAGAUGUGCUCCCCUCUUGUCGGACCCUAAGCUGGACGCACCGUCCUCACGGGGAGCAGUUUUCCACAGGCAGCCUCUGAAGUGGCUGUCAGCCCUGCGCUUGUGUCCACAGCAAAGGCCGUGGCUCCGGCGUCCCCUGUGUUCUCCAGGUGAUAGGCAUGUAGGGCUCACUCUCCUUGGAACUUCAGAAGGACAUCGUGUUUAGCUGGCUCGUCUUUGAAGUCAGCAUCUGGGGCAGCACUCCGGUCGGCCCACUUUCUCCGGUGAGAGCCUCAGAGAGUGGCCAGAGAGCCCCAGAGCUGGUGUUUGCAUUUAUAAAUUGCAGGCAUACGGCUUCGUUCCUUUGUUAAAAUUGAAUUUCAAAUAAACUUUUUUUAUUUAGUAUAAGUCUCUCCCACACGAUAUUUGGGUCAUACUUAUACUAAAACAUUGUUCGUCUGAAGUUCAGAUUUAAUUGGGUGUCCCAUAUUUGAUAUGGCUUCCAUCUAACACAGCCCUGGCGGCUGUCUGGCUGCUCUCUGGAGAGGAGAGCGGAGACCUGCCCUAUUGCUUUAACAUUGGCUCCUGUGGACAAUGUGUCUGGACCUGUGGCCCGUUGUUUGAACAUGUGGUUGCCGCUUAGAGAAACAAAACACUUCUGCUGUGAGUCCAUUAGAUGGCAGAAUUCUUAAGGUUUUGUAUUCUAAAUCCAGCUGUAAGGGAGAGACAAAGUAUCAGCUAGUUUGGCGCAAGAGCUCCUAAUUCUAAUGGAAAUUUCUCAAGGGGGACAGGAGACUGGUGUGGGGAGGGGGGCACUGGUCAUUGAUAAUCGUCAUUAAUUCAGCAGGGUCUGUUGGCCCCAGGGGCACCUGGGUGGCUCAGACGGUUGAGCGUCUGCCUUCGGCUUGGUCGUGAUCCCCGGGGUCCUGGGAUCGGGUCCCUUGUUGGUCUCCCUACUCAGCAGGGAGUCUGCUUCUCCCUCUGCCCCUCCCCUCACUCGCUUGCUCUCUGUCUCUCUCUCAAAUAAAUAAAAUCUUGAAGAAAAAAAAAAGAGGGGGGUCUGUUGGCUCCAGAUUCCAUGCAAACAAGAUGGACAGGGUCCCCACCCUCGUGGAUGGGACAUCCUCGCGCAGGGAAGCAGAGAAAAAGCAAGUAACCACCUAAGGGGGUAAGACAGGCCAGGCCCAGCAGAGACCCAAACCAUCUGAAACGGAGACAUUUGAAGAUGCGGGUAGAACCUUCCAGGCCAAGGAGACAGGAACAUCCGGCCGGCGUGGCUGGGCUGGAGCGAGGCAGGUGGAGGCCAAUAGGAUGAGGCGAAGCAGCUGGAGCUCAUCCUCCUCCCCCGGGAAGACCCCAGCCCCCUCCGUGUGGAUAUAGUCCAUGAUGGCAGGUGCACUGGGGUGAGUCGUGUCCUCAAAAUUUCAUGUCCACGCUGAACCUCAGAAUGUGGCCUUGUUUGGAAAUAGGGCCAUUGCGGAUGGAAUCAGUUAAGGUGAAGCCCUCCCGGAGUAGGGUGGGCCCUAACUCUGAUGACUGGCGCCCUUGUAAGAAGGCCAUAGGACGACACACAGGGAAGAGGCCACGUGAUGGGGGAGGCAGAGAAUGGAUGUGGCCACAAGGCUGGGGACACCUGCAGCCACCAGGACCUAGAAGAGGCGGGGUGGGGGGUGUCCCGUGGAGCAUCCGGAGGGAGACGGCCCUACCCACACCUAGGUCUCAGACUUCUGGCCUCCAGAACUGGGAGAAAAUCAGCUUCUGGUCUUUGAAGCCCCCCAGUCUGUGGUGUUCUGUUCUGGGAGCCCCAGGAAGCUACCAUGGGGUGGGGAGAGAUGAGGACAAAUCUCUUAUUUGCCUGACACCCCAAGGAAAAUCUGGGCCACACCUGAAACAUGGGGAACUAGCCAGGGGACUAAGUACCCAGAGAAAACCUGCUUCCCAAGGAGCAGAGGGGAACAGAAAACCACGCCGCCUUUUGCAUUUGAUGGGCCAAAGGUUGUCACACCCGCGUGGCCCCUUCUAUAUCUGGCAGAUUUCAUCUUGCUGCCUCCAGGGGGUUUGCGGUUAUCGGGAAAACAGGGGCCUCUGCAACUAAUGCCCACGGUUAUUAAAGAUCCCAGAUAAAUGCCGCUCCACAGUCCCUGUCCCCGCCAGCAGCAGGGCUGCGACUCCAUUAAACUCGGUCUUAAAUAUUAAUGUAAAAAAGAUAAUGUCUCCAGAUAAGCGCCUGCUCGGUGGAGCAAGGGGACAGCUGUGCCCCAGGCCUGGGCACUUUAUCAGCUGGACUGAGCUCACAGCUGGGGGAGAAGCUGUCAUCUUACCUUCCUUCACUUCUUCACUUUCCUCAACUCCUGUGGUUAAAAAAAGACAAAAAACGCAUUGAAUUUUUAAAUCCUCACAGUGCCUGUGUAAGCUCCCCUCCCCGCACCCACCUGGUGGUAGUGAUGGGGGGGGUCCAGAGAUGUGGCCUCCGAGGUGGCAGCAGCUUUGGCCAUGGGCUGGCUGGAGGCCUGGGCCCGCGUGGCACCAGCUGGACCCAGACCUUGGUUCAGUUCAGUCCUCCCUGCCCCCCCCACGGCACCAGAAACGGACCCCAAAUCCCCUCAAGGCCUGUGUGGUCCUAGCCUGCUCUGAUUUCAGCUUAGACCCCUCUCCCUCCUAUUCAGGAGGCUCCUUCCUUCUGGAUCUCGAAGGUGCCAAGCUCAUUCCCUCCUCACGCCCUUGCACGUUCUCGUCCCCCAGACUUUCUCGUGGCUGGCUCCCUCCUGUCUAUCACAUCUUGGUCCUCGGAGAGACUUUCCUGAGCACCCAGUCUAGUAAAGACCCCCCAGAGCAUCCUCAAGCCCACUGUCCUGUCCCACUGUCAUCCUCACACCCCCUGUUGGCCCUCUUACCUGCAGCCCCUAAGAGCAGAGCCUUUGUUCCCAGCACCGAGAACAUCUCAAGCCUCUAUAGGUAGGGGCUGGAUGGUAUUGAAUGGUCUUGACCCUAACCCCCUUUCCAGAAUAUUCUCCUGUAAAAUGUGUCUUGUCCUUGGUGCUUCCUUGACAACAGGACUGGAGGCAGUGUCUGCACCUCUAAUGCAGCCCAGGAUGGGGGGCCCUGGGCAGGGAGGCUGGGUCGUCAACUCCUGUUGGGGGGAGCCGGCCUACGUGCCUGAGAGUUCUGACCCUAGACCAUCGGCUCUUACCAUGAGCCAGCACGACCCCCAGGCAGUAUUUGGUCUGUGGUCAGGUUCACGGCAUAGACUCUACCUAGCUGCUCAGUUAUUCACAGGAGAUCGCUUGCAGCUGGGCCGUCAGGGCUUCCUGGAAGAGCUGAGAAUCCAGGUGUGUCUCAGAGGACAGGUGCGCAGGAGGAUAGGUAGACAGGAGGACAGGUGUGUCUCUGAGGACAGGUAGGGAGGACAAAUGUGUCUCUGAGGACAAGUAGGGAGGAUAGGUGUGUCUCCGAGAACAGGUGAGUAGGACAGGUGUGUCUCUGAGGACCGGUGGGCAGGACAGGUGUGUCUCCGAGGACAGGUGGGCAGGAGAAGAGGCAGGAAAGAAAGAGCAGAGACCAGAGAGGGACAGUGUGUGGACCAGUCUCGGAGGCUAAGCGGGGAUGAGGCCACCUUGUGAAAGGUCAUGUAUGGCUUUCUUGCAGCUGCCACACAAAGUACCACACCUGGGGGCUUAAAACAGCAGACACGGGCUCUCUCAUGGCUCUGGAGGCCAAAAGUCUGAAGUCCAGGUGUGGACAGGGCCCCGAUCCCUGGAGAGCUCUAGGGGAAGAGCGCUCCCUCCCUGUCUCAUCCAGCUUCUGUGGGCCGCCUGCCAGCCCUGGCAUCCCCUGGCUCACAGACGUGCCCCUGCUGUCUCUGCCUGGGCUCCACGUGGCUACUGUCCCUCUGCGCCUGUCUGUCUGUGCCCAGAUCUUCCCCAGAUCUCUCUCCUGAUAAGGACGCCAGUCGUCAGAGUUAGGGCUCUCUACUCCAGGAUGACCUCAUCUUAACCUGACUACAUCUACAAAGACCUUCCUUCCAAAUAAGUUUGCAGUCACAGCGGAGUCGGGACCUCAGCGUGUCUUUUUGGGGACGGUUUCCACCCACAACUGGUGCCAAGGGCUAGCUGCACUCCUGGAGCUACCUGCGUGAGGGUGAGUGCCCUGGCAGGAAUUCCGGCUCCCUGCAGCACCUGUGUGACCUUGGGUGAGUCACCUGGCCUCUCUGUGUCUGUUUCCUAUCCGGACAGCGGAGACUGUAGGCACUUCCUCACGGAAUUGUCCUGAGGGCUGUGUAAGACCGUGACAUAGCUCAGAGCUCCAGGCGCGGCCACUGGUGGGAGAGAAGCGUGGUCUUGGAAGCAGUUCACUGGGAGGCGUAGCCCACGUCCCGUGUGGACAAGGAGCAGAUGUGGAAGGAAGGGAGGGGAGACAGGGACGGAGGUGGCAAGACCAGCCAGUCAUUCGGGAGGAGCUGCCUUGAAAUGAACGGGGGCUGGGAGGACGGCAGGCAUGGGGUGUCUCGUGGGUCUCCAUGGAGGACUGACCAGGACCACGGUGUCAGCAGAGCAGCCCCGUCCUCAUGGAGUAGGAGGGGCUGCAGCGAUCCUGACAGGUCUGCUAGUGAGCUCUCUGUAACCGGUGUUUCCCCGGUCGGCCUGGCCUCGGGAAUCAGGGGCAUGUCUGUUCACAGCACGGAUCCCCCGGCCUCCACCCUGAGAUUGGGGCAAGAGCCAAGAGGCUCUUCUCAUUGGGCAAGGAUGGGGACCAGGGGGGUUGGUUCUGCGUUGUGCACCUGGAAAGGCAGGGGUCAGCACAGCCCCAUUGAAUCCACAGAGAGCACCACGGAGUUCCCCCGGGAUGGACCCCCAGGCCUCACACCCUUUAGUCCGGGGGUCUGAGAGAAGGAGCUCCUCCGUGGGAGGGGGCCCCGACACAGCUCACCCCCCAGCCUGCCACCUCUAUGAACGAGGGCAGACCCAGAGUCAGCCUUCCUUGCUCGACCUCUCUGUGCCUCAGUUCCCUCCUGUGUGAGCAGACCGUGGUGGGGACUCAGCUGCACAAGAAGUGUCACUUCAGUGUUAGUGCGGUGGCCACUGUUGGUGCCUCAGAGGUGCUCCCAAAGGAGGCAGAAACACUCAGGGCACAGCACAGCUGCUCUGCACCGGGCAUCAACUAAGACGUGCAAGGAGUGGGUUGGCAGCCAGUUAGCCUUUUUCCCCUUCUAGGGCCGGUAGCGCUGGACGUGACUGGGGUGUGAGGUCCUGAAGGAUGCCCCCAGGGUGUCUUCAGCUCUUACCUACCAGGCGACACCUCCUCCAGGAAGGCCACCAGUCUGCCACUCUUUGCUUAGAAACUUCAGGGGCAGGACCUCCCAUCUGCUGGAGAAGCCCCCAACACUCCAGCAUCUACCCAGCUCUCCUUGGGCAGGAAGUCUCCUUUGGGUGCAAAACAUGCUCCAUUGGGCACGGUCAGGGCAGCCCUGCUGGUACGGGGAGGCACCCCAGCCUCCACAGGGUACAGCCGCUCACCCUCACUCUUUUUUUUUUUUAAAGAUUUUUUUUACUUGUUUUAUUUUAGAGAGCAAGUGAGCAUGAGCGGGAGGGGCAGAGGGAGAGGGAGAGAGAAAAAGAACCCAAAAAAACUGUUAUGUGUCAAAAUCCACCAGCCACACGCGAUGCUUCUGCUCAAAGCGCAUUGUCAAGUUGACCAGUGCAGGCCUGGAAUUCACCCUCCUCACCUAGACACGUUCCAAAAGAGCGGCCCUUUCAGGAUGACUUUACAUCAUGGCAAGUUCUGGUCAAGCGUUUAAGCUUCCAGGUUUCCACUCUUGUCUUUGUUUUUUUUUUUAAGAUUUUAUUUUUAUUUAUUUGACAGAGAGAGAGAGACAGCCAGCAAGAGAGGGAACACAAGCAGGGGGAGUGGGAGAGGAAGAUGCAGGCUCAUAGCGGAGGAGCCUGAUGUGGGGCUCGAUCCCAUAACGCUGGGACCACGCCCUGAGCCAAAGGCAGACGCUUAACCGCUGUGCCACCCAGGAGCCCCUCCACUCUUGUCUAAUUCUCAUGACCUCCUAAGAGUAUUGCAAGUCAUGACCCCUGUUUAAGGCAAGUGAAAAGUUAUAGACUCUGGCCAGCCUUUAAACGCCCACCUGCCCAUCUUCUCCACAUGACAGUUCUCUGCUGAGAACAGCUUCUCUUUGUCCUGGAUUUCCCCGGGGAGUUCUGAGGUCAAACAUUCACUUCCAUUGUUUCCAUGAUACAUGACAGUGGAAUGGAGUGAGGGCUGGGGUUCUAGUGUAAGACCCUGCUCCGUCCUACCUACGUCUGGAAGGGGUGCUUCUUGCCGAGAGGAACCAGCAAGUGGUUCCCAGCACCCUGGUGUAUCGCUGGGUAGAGCGUAGCUGGUGGCAUCUGGAGGAGGGAAAGGUGACCAGUGCUUGGGGGACUGGCUUCAUGCUGCGUGUAUUAUCUGAGGUGAUAUCAGAGGACGAGGAGGGUUUCCAAGGCAAAGAAACAGGAAGGGUGCUCCCACAGGAAACAGCAAGAGGAAGGCCCAGAGGCUUUUGAGGCAGGUGAUGUUUUCUUUUGAGAACAGCUUUAUUGAGAAAGAAUUCAUGUACCAUAUAGGUUUAAAGUGUACAAUUCAAUGAUUUUGGUAUAUUCAAAGAAUUGUAGAAAAAUCACCACAAUUUUAGAACAUUUUAAUCUCUCCAGAAAGAAACCCUAUACCCACCUGAGUUAUCACUCCCCAAAUUCACUACUCCCCCCAACCCCUGGCAACCAUGAAGCUACUUCCUGUCUAAAUGGAUUUACCUAUUUUGAACAUUUCAUGUAAACGGAAUCAUAUGACAUGUGGCCUUUUGUGACUGGCUUGUCUCACCUAGCAUAACAUUUUCAAGGUUCAUCCAUGCUGGAGCGUGUGUCGGUGCCUCAUUCCUUCAUAUGGCUAAAUAACAUUCUGUUGUAUAAAUGGGCCAUAUUUUGCUUAUCCAUUCAUCAAUGGAUGGGCAAUUUGGUUGUUUCCACUUUGGGGCUAUGAUCAGUAAUGCUGCUAUGGACAUUUGUGUUCAAGUGUUUUGUGUGGGCAUAUGUUUUCGGUUCUCUGGGCACAUACCUAGGAGUGGAAUUGCUGGGUUGUAUGGUGCGGCAGAUGAUACUUGACACACUGGUGACUAAGUCUUUGUGAAUCUCACUUAACCUGGAGCUGCUUAAAGCACACCACCUGAGGAACCCCUGAGGAGUAGUAAGAUGGCAGAUCUGAUACUUUGCCAGAGCACAGAGAAAUGAACUAUAUAAGGAAGACCAAAGUAGGAGAUUUCCACAUCCCCUAGAGCAGGUGCACAGCACCACUAGAAGCUCUUGAUAAAAAACACAGCUUCCCAGGCCCAGGCCCGGAGCUGCUGAUUCAGUAGGUCAGCGUGAGACCCAGGAAUCUGCAUUUGUAACAAGUUCUCCCGACAACCGGGUCAGGUAGUUGAUAACCUUGCCCUAGACCAUAAGUUGAAGAGCCCUGGAAGGAGUGGAGGCAGUCUUCUCCCUCUGCAGCCUCUUUGGCAGGCCUAUGGGCUUCUAAAGGCCAGGGCCCAACCUGGGGAAGGGCUCAGCCACUGAGUAGGGUCAAGACUGCAGGCUCCCUUUCCAUCUUCCCAGCCCCUGCCACUCAAGAGGGUCAGGGAGGGCCAGGAAGGCCCGUGGCUUAUGUGGGCAGGUAAAUAGAGCAGGCAGAGCUGGACUUCUGGGUCCUCAGGGGCCCCCACUGGCAUCUGAAGGUGGUGUCAGUGACCUGCCAGGGCUGCCUCAGCAAAGGCCCCAGCUCUGUCCCUGGGUCCAGGUAUCAUCCUCAGGGGGUCUCUCCUGCUGCUGUGUCAGGCCUGGGGAGGACAAAAGGGGUACAGUUACCAGUCAAAAGGUGGGGGUAGAGUCUCCCAUGUGGGCCUAUACCAACUCCCACCUCCAAAAGCCGUUCCUUCAUGCUGCAGGAUCAUGGGAGUACAUGUUAUUUGAGAUCUGACCAUCCUCUGUGAUCUGCGUCGGACACGGAGAACACUGAGGCUCGGAGAGAAAGUCACUUGCCCUAGGCUGCCCAGCUCAGGAGCAGGGAGGCUAGGACAGGAACAAGAUUUCAUUCUUAAUAUCUGUGUCAAAAAGGCAGGGCAAGUUCAGUCACCAUCCAUCACAAACAUCUUUUUUUUUUUUUUAAGAUUUUAUUUAUUUAUUUGACAGAGAUAGCAAGAAAGGGAACACAAGUAAGGCGAGUGUGAGAGGGAGAAGAAGGCUUCCUGCCGAGCAGGGAGCCCAAUGUGGGGCUCGAUCCUAGCACCCUGGGAUCAUGACCUGAGCCGAAGUCAGAUGCUUAAUGACUGAGCCACCCAGGCGCGCCCCCAUCAUGAACAUCUUUGGGUGGAUUCUUCUCUGGGUGCUGUCAGAGAGGAGGGUGGACAGACAGCUGGUGUGGAAGGGCCCUGUGGGUCGAAGCUGGGAGAGAGAGCAUCUUCUCAGACCACGCCCCUUAUUUUGUCAGUGGACGCCCAGAGAGGGCAAGUCCCCUGCCUAUGAUCACACAGCAAAUUAGCAGCAGAGCCUGAAUGAGACCCCAGCCACCUGCUCUCUUCCUCUCUUUCUCUGCUCCUCCCACAUGGCAAGAAAGAACCCAAAGAGCGGCUUUGGCCAGGGCUCACCUUGCAGGGCUAGGGUGCCAUGCUCAGGGUCAGAGGGCAAAGCCAGCCCCUCCUGCCACUGGAGGCAUCCCCUGGGGUUUGAGGACACCCUGUGAGCUUUGUUCCAGGAGGACAGCCUUGCUCCCAGCUUCAUCCUGAACCCAGGAGUGUAGUAAAGGAGGAUGGGGUAACAGGGAGCGGUGUCUCUCUUCAUUCAUUCAUUCACGCAUUUAUUCCAGAAGUAUUUACUGAGUGUCUGUUGUGAGCUAAUGACUGUGGAGGGCCAGCACUUCUCAGGUCUCUGGUCCAAGACCCCCAGAUUUCUCUGCUCGGGUUGUCUGCAUUCUAUCAUCUAGACAGAGGGGUCUUUCCUCCACAUUUCUGUUAAUUCAGCUUCUCCUUGCGCUUAAACCCUAGUGGAAGCCCCACUUUCCUGGAUGCAAACCCCAAGCGGCUAGAGUGGGCUGCGGCCGGCCGCCUGCAAGCUCAGCGGUCCUCCCUGGCGGCAGCCCCUGCCUGUCUGAGUCCCGGCUGUCGGCCUCCCGGGGAGCGGCCAGGACAGGCGGCUGUGCAGCCCGUGUCAUUAAUAAUGAAUCGUUAGAUGCCUCCUGUGCUUCUCACCGGUCACCUAAUUUACUUGGUGGGAGCGCCAACAACGCGUGGUGUGCAGAGCCAGGAUCUGGGCUCUGGGAAGCCUGGAAAAGCAGCUGCUCCCCAAACCCCCCGGCAGCAGCCUGCUCAGCCCCCAGGCUGCCACCCUGAAGGGAGGCGGCCUCCCUUCUCCCUCGGAGGACGGCGAUGUCACGCGGAGGUCGGGAGUAACUGGCAGCCCAGCCCUGCCCGAGGCUGCGGGGCUGGAGGCCAGGGCAGCCUGAGCCAGACCAAGGUGAGGGCAGGGGAAGGACCUGCGGAGCCAGAGAAAGAUGUGAAGGGAGAGGAAGUGGCUCCCCCCUCCGCACCUGGAUUCCCGAGUUCCCUCUGAUGAGGUCUUUUCUAGCUGGAUUCUGGACAUUUGAUUCCCUUCCCUCGGACACCGCACAGGAUUUUUCUAUUGUUGCUUUGGGAAAUCCUCGCUCCUGAAGGAACGCCUCACCGCUUCCUGGCUUUCUGGGAUAAAGUCUCAUCCUGGGAGAAGGAGGGCUUCUAGAGGCCUGGAAGGAGGGGGACGCAGCCAGGAGCUGGGCACCCGGCCUCGGCAUGCAGGUGUCCUUCGUGUGCUCGGAGCACAGCCUCAAGGGCCGGGGCCCUGAGGAGCGUCUGGGCCGGCCGGCAGCCAGCAGCCCCAGCCUGGGCUCCCAUGGCCGCUUCCGCGCCGUGGCCAUGGUGGCCCGGAGCCUGGGACACCUGUCCACGCAGAGCCUCCCAUGCACCAGUGAUGCCAGCGUGAAACAGCGCGGGAUGAAAUAUAGGUAUGGGCCCUGGGGGUGGUUCGCAGGGUCAAGCUUCCCCCCCUACAGCACCCCCAUUAGAGAGCCAGGAAAAUCUGCAAAUCCGUUGUCAGAUGUGGGCACUUGGUGUACUGAGAGGCCCCUGGGGCAAGGGGGGUGCUCCUAGUGCUGCAUGGACUGGGUGGGUGAAAAAUACCAUUGCGGCUCAGGGUUAGCCCCAAGUUUCUUUCUUUACCAUCGCAAGAAGGGGGCGGGGGGGGCAGGAAGGUGCACGAUGGCUUCUCUUCCUUCUGCCCAUUUGUUUCCUUUGAUGAGGGGGGGCAGGUAAUAAUAACCAAGCCACCCACGGAGGACCCUGUGAUGCUUUCUGUUCCUGGGAACCCCCGGCACUGGCCACGGGCCCCAGAAGAUGCCCCGUGGGUGGUCUUUGCAGUUAGUCCAUCAUGAGACGCAUUGAUUUGAUAUUCAGGGACCUCAGGUGAACCACCUGAGCUAGACCCCAGGCCCGGGUGUCUCCACGGGCAGGACUGUCACUCAGCAGGGCACAGAACAGCAUCCGGGCUUCCCUGCUGGUCCUUAGCCCCAGCUGUCCCCUGCACCCCUGCCUGGGCUCAGUCCACCACCUGGCUCCAGGCUGUCUCGCUGCGGCUUGUAUGUGGAGAGGGUGUCGGGGGCAGGGACCUUCCUCCUGCUCCUGACAUGCCACCCCUUGCCCCACCCCGGGCCUUGCUCCGAUGCUUGGCUGAUGCACCAGGUGGAAGAGGAGAGUUGCAGCUUUGUACGAAGGACCCCUGGGGGCAGGUCAUAGGGUACCUGGCUUGGGGGUCUGGCCUUUCUUAGUCCGUUGCCCUUUCUAGAAUGAUGUUCCUGGGAAACCAUGUUCUUACAGCAAACAAUAUAUCGUCUGGACCCAAAGUGUCACAUGGGCUCAGAAAGAGGCACAGAAGAUUCUAGCUGUAUUUGAGGACAGUGUCUGGGUUUCUAGCUGGUGGUGUAGCCAAUUUGAAAAGUCCUGAGAGAAUCAUUCCUGACACUGAGAUGUAGAGCUUAUCCCCCCACCCCGAACCGAUGCCUAAAGUCGGACCCCACGUGGAAGAACCGCGUUGAGUCCCGUGCCUCCUGGAAAUGAACUUUGGAAUAACUCUGAGUCCUUCUGCAUCUCCACCCGCAUCCCCUCCGUCCCUGGGUCCUUGGGGGCGUUCAGUAUUCUUUGAUGAGCCUCUGGAGGAAAAGCUUGUGUUCCCACCCUCUAGCUCAGUGAGGACAAUCCAGAGUGGACUUCUCUAGUCUAGAAGCCCUGCUGGCUUAUAUCUUUUGUUAAGUGGGGAUCAAAAGCUAAGAGUAAACACACUGUGUAUUUCGAGUUAGAUACCUGUUACUUGCUGCUAUUUUUAAGUCAAUCCUGGGAUCAUUAAAGGAGUUCAUAUAAGUGAGACCAUUUCUAAAAAAUGUGAAGUGCUAUGUAAAUGAAAAAUACGGGUAUUAACGUGAUUUCCUGCCGAAGAUCCUAUGAUCCAUUAAGGAGUGAAUCUCGAACAGCCUGGGUGCUGGAGAUUACUGUGUGUGCGUGCGUGUGUGUGUGUGUCUAUGUGUGUGUGUGUCUGUGUGUGUAUCUGUGUAUGCCCAUGGGCACGUGUGUGCAUGCAUUUGCAUGGAUGUGUGUGCAUGUGUGUGUGUCUGUCUGUGUGUAUGCCCAUGGGCACACGUGUGCUUGUAUUUUCAUGUCUGUGUGUGCGCAUGUGUGUCUGUGUGUGUGUGUCUGUGUAUGUGUGCCCAUGGGCGCAUGUGUGCUUGAAUUUGCAUGGAUGUGUGCAUGUCUGUGUGUGUCUGUGUGUGUGUGUGCGUGUGUGUCUGUGUGUGUGUGUCUGUGUAUGUGUGCCCAUGGGCGCAUGUGUGCUUGAAUUUGCAUGGAUGUGUGUGCAUGUCUGUGUGUGUCUGUGUGUGUGUGUGCGUGUGUGUCUGUGUGUGUGUGUCUGUGUGUGUGUGCCCAUGGGCGCAUGCGUGCUUGAAUUUGCAUGGAUGUGUGUGCAUGUCUGUGUGUGUCUGUGUGUGUGUGUGCGUGUGUAUGUGUGUGUGUGUGUGUGUCUGUGUGUGUGUGCCCAUGGGCGCAUGUGUGCUUGUAUUUUCAUGUCUGUGUGUGCGCGUGUGUGUCUGUGUGUGUGUGUCUGUGUAUGUGUGCCCAUGGGCGCAUGUGUGCUUGAAUUUGCAUGGAUGUGUGUGCAUGUCUGUGUGUGUCUGUGUGUGUGUGUGCGUGUGUAUGUGUGUGUGUGUGUGUGUCUGUGUGUGUGUGCCCAUGGGCGCAUGUGUGCUUGUAUUUUCAUGUCUGUGUGUGCGCGUGUGUGUCUGUGUGUGUGUGUCUGUGUAUGUGUGCCCAUGGGCGCAUGUGUGCUUGAAUUUGCAUGGAUGUGUGUGCAUGUCUGUGUGUGUCUGUGUGUGUGUGUGCGUGUGUAUGUGUGUGUGUGUGUGUGUCUGUGUGUGUGUGCCCAUGGGCGCAUGUGUGCUUGUAUUUUCAUGUCUGUGUGUGCGCGUGUGUGUCUGUGUGUGUGUGUCUGUGUAUGUGUGCCCAUGGGCGCAUGUGUGCUUGAAUUUGCAUGGAUGUGUGUGCAUGUCUGUGUGUGUCUGUGUGUGUGUGUGUGCGUGUGUAUGUCUGUGUGUGUGUGCCCACGGGCGCAUGUGUGCUUGAAUUUGCAUGGAUGUGUGUGGGUGUGGGUGUGUAUGUGCCCAUGGGCGCAUGUGUUUAUAUUUGCAUGGAUGUGUGUGCCUGUCUCUGUGUGUCUGUGAGUGUGUGUGUGUGCCCAUGAGCGCAUCUGUGUGCCCAUGAGCACAUGUGUGCAUGUAUUUGCAUGGAUGUGCGUGUGUGUGUGUGCACAUGUUUGUGCAGGAGACAGGGAGGGUGAGACAGACGGUAAGGGGAGAUGCUCACUAGGCUAGGGGGUUUACAGUCCAAGGAGAAGCUGGGCUCAGAUCCCAGCCCCAGCACUUCCUAACUAGGAGACCCCCAUCUGUCUUUACACGUGGUCUGCUGAGCUUUUCUCACAGUGUGGGGGAAAGAAGGUGGGCUCACGCACCUGCAGGAAGUGUGGUUUCAUAGACGCUGAGGUGGGAGCCAGAAUCCCAACCAUUGGGUGCCCUUGGUGACCAGAGUACCUGCCUUACAGGUAAGUACCUGCCCCACACAGUACCGCCUCAUGGGGCUGCUCUGUAGUGACUGUCCCAGGGCCACAGCUAGGACGCAGGUAGGGGCCGCAGGGGGCCUGAUUGCUCUUUACCCCCCACUCUGACCACCUCCUUAGGAAGCUGGCCAGGAGGGGCCUCCAGCCACACCCUUUGGUGUUAAGGGAACUAAAGGUGGGUAGCCAGAGUGCCACGUUCUUGCUGGAGGGCCCAAGAAGGGCUCGGUGUGGGCAAAACGCGAUACCAAGCCCUGAGAAUAAGGGAAGGGGCCACCAUUCAGUCCCAAGGCCCUGGUGUCAGUGCGGGGACUUCUCGCCCCCCAGUUACCCAACAAGCACCCCUGAGACCCUGCUGAUAUCAGCUACAAUCUGAGGAUGAAACCUCAGAAGGCCAGGCCUGUCCAUAGGGAACCUGGAGUCUGGGAGCAGGGCAGACCUGUCAACAGUUAAUCACCGCCCAAUGUGACAGCCGACCGGAAAACACCCUGGCUCCUACAUUCAUCACACCAGCUCAUGAAGGCCGCGCUGCUGUCCGUCACCGGCUCAAAGGGUUGUCCUCCACCUGCAUCGCUGAAUUUAAAGGCCUUGGACUCUUCCGAAAGGACCUGUAAUUACCCGGGGUCUGAGGUGCGGUAUCAAGGGGCACGGAGCGUCUGGUGGCUAAUGCGACGGGCAUCAGUGCCCUCCUCCAGCAGAGGUGAAAUCCAUGAGUCCUCAUUAGCAUGUUUCCAGACCACAGGAGAGACAUACGGCAAAUUAAUGGAGACUCACAUUAUUUGGCCAACUUUUUUAUCAGUAUGUCGACUUUUAAUUGGGGGAGAAAAAUCUGGAGAAAACAAUGUUCGAGUCGUGGGAGUUUCAGGGGGCAGCAUGUCCCCAGCCCCUGGUCCAGCCAAGGCACAGAUUUGUGGAGCUCCCCACCCCCACCGAGCAGCCUUAUUUAUAAAACUUUUAGCCUGGAGAUACCCUGUCCUUUCUCAUUUCUUCUCCCGAGGCCUGGCAGCGGAUGGCAGAACUAAUACCGUCAUUUUAUCGGGGAGACAACUUGAGCGGGGGGAGAAGAACAGGCGAGACUUCCGUCUUUUAACGCAUUAACUUUCAAAGCUCUUGAUUCGUCCGUUGCUUCUGGCGUGAGGAAAAAGGAACUUGGGCAAGUCAGGCCUGAGGGUCUCCUGCCUGGGGCUCGGAACAUGGGUGACCUUCGGAGGCCAGAUCACCGAUGAG